UACGAAGGGGGCUAGCGUUGUUCGGAAUUACUGGGCGUAAAGGGCUCGUAGGCGGCCAACUAAGUCGGACGUGAAAUCCCUCAGCUUAACUGGGGAACUGCGUCCGAUACUGGAUGGCUUGGAUUCGGGAGAGGAAUGCGGAAUUCCAGGUGUAGCGGUGAAAUGCGUAGAUAUCUGGAGGAACACCGGUGGCGAAGGCGGCAUUCUGGACCGACAUUGACGCUGAGGCACGAAAGCGUGGGGAGCAAACAGG
rnacentral:rRNA from 1 species